AUACUGUAUUUUAUAGUAACUCUCAUUUUUAUUCCUCCCUUUUACUCCCGCUCGUGGAAGGUUUUCCUGGAGAAUGAAGUGCGGUUUGGUUUCCUUGUCAACGGAAGAUGAAGUGAACAACUGAACAUCUCCCCAGUGCAGGGUUAAAGGCAAGUGAUCCAACCAUGACCGGCAAAACACAGACCAGCAAUGUCACCAAUAAGAACGACCCAAAGUCCAUCAACUCCAGAGUCUUCAUUGGCAAUCUGAACACAGCCAUUGUCAAAAAAGGUGACAUCGAAGCAAUCUUUGCAAAGUAUGGGAAAAUAGUUGGCUGCUCAGUGCACAAAGGUUAUGCGUU